UAAAAGGUCGGGAAGC
rnacentral:tRNA from 1 species